UGGGGAAUAUUGGACAAUGGGGGCAACCCUGAUCCAGCAAUGCCGCGUGAGUGAUGAAGGCCUUAGGGUUGUAAAGCUCUUUUACCGGGGACGAUGAUGACGGUACCCGGAGAAUAAGCCCCGGCUAACUUCGUGCCAGCAGCCGCGGUAAUACGUAGGGUGCAAGCGUUAAUCGGAAUUACUGGGCGUAAAGCGUGCGCAGGCGGUUAUGCAAGACAGAUGUGAAAUCCCCGGGCUCAACCUGGGAACUGCAUUUGUGACUGCAUGGCUAGAGUGCGGUAGAGGGGGAUGGAAUUCCGCGUGUAGCAGUGAAAUGCGUAGAUAUGCGGAGGAACACCGAUGGCGAAGGCAAUCCCCUGGACCUGUACUGACGCUCAUGCACGAAAGCGUGGGGAGCAAACAGGAUUAGAUACCCUGGUAGUCCAUGCCGUAAACGAUGAGAACUAGAUGUGUGAGGUAUUGACCCCUUACGUGUCGCAGCUAACGCAAUAAGUUCUCCGCCUGGGAAGUACGGCCGCAAGGUUA
rnacentral:rRNA from 1 species